CACGUAGGGCGCAAGCGUUGUCCGGAAUUAUUGGGCGUAAAGAGCUCGUAGGCGGUCUGUUACGUCUGCUGUGAAAACCCGGGGCUUAACCCUGGGCUUGCAGUGGAUACGGGCAGACUAGAGGUAGGUAGGGGAGAACGGAAUUCCUGGUGUAGCGGUGAAAUGCGCAGAUAUCAGGAGGAACACCGGUGGCGAAGGCGGUUCUCUGGGCCUUACCUGACGCUGAGGAGCGAAAGCGUGGGGAGCGAACAGG
rnacentral:rRNA from 1 species